GUGGUUGUGACUCAGCGAUAGAGUGCUCGCCUAGUGCGUGCGAGGCCCUGGGUUCGAUCCUCAGCACACAUA
rfam:Ictidomys tridecemlineatus contig015521, whole genome shotgun sequence.